CCUGGCUUAUAGCCCAGCGGUCUCAGUAGAGUACCCAACUUAAUGAUGGCAACUACUGACGAGGGUUGCGCUCGUUGCGGGACUUAACCCAACAUCUCACAACACGAGCUGACGACAGCCAUGCAGCACCUGUCACCGCGUCCCGUAAGGGAACCCCCGCUUUCACGGGGUAGCGCGGGAUGUCAGGCCUAGGUAAGGUUCUUCGCGUAGCAUCGAAUUAAACCACAUGCUCCGCUGCUUGUGCGGGUCCCCGUCAAUUCCUUUGAGUUUUAGCCUUGCGGCCGUACUCCCCAGGCGGGGCGCUUAAUGCGUUAGCUCCGGCACAGAACCCGUGGAAAGGCCCCACACCUAGCGCCCAACGUUUACAGCAUGGACUAC
rnacentral:misc_RNA from 1 species